rfam:Danio rerio chromosome 21, GRCz11 reference primary assembly.
GGGGAUGUUGCUCAGCGGUAGAGCGCAUGCUUCGCAUGUAUGAAUUCCUCGGUUCAAUCCCCAGCAUCUCCA